UUUUUUUUUUUUUUUUUUUUUUUUUUGGCUUUUUAGGGCCACACCUAUGGCAUAUGGAAGUUCCCAGGCCAGGGUCGAAUCAGAGCUACAGCUGCCAGCCUACACCACAGCCACAGCAAUGGUGGAUUCAGGGACCCAAACCCACAUCCUCAUGGAUACCAGUCAGGUUCAUUACCGCCUAGCCACAACGGAACUCCCUCCCACUCUCUUUAAACAGGAAGUAUCUCGAAAGAGCUCACCCAGGAGGAGCUGCCCGGAAGUCCCUCCCUCUGCAGGAAGCUCUGAUGUUCUGACCCUGUGAAUCAGUACCUGCCUCCACCCACCACAUGGUUAACAGCUACUCAAGACUCAUCUCCCUAAAGCCCCCAGAAAGCUUGCCUCACCUGGUACUGUAGCUGCCGUUGCCUUGGAUUGGCACAGGUGCUUAUUUAAGAGCCUGUCCCCCCAGUGAGUCCCCCUAAAUCAGCCCCAGCCACUUGUUCUUCUCAAAUGGCCUCACUGUCCAGCCCAAGGCCAGCAUUAGUGCCUUCAACGAACACCAGAAGUUGUCAAAUGGAUAUUAAUGAUGAUUGGAAUCAUGUAGGAAACUUUAAAUUAUGGUCAAUGUGUUUUGGUUAGAAAACAAUGAAAUGUAAGGCUGGCCAGAAAGACUUUUUUUUUUUUUUGAGGGCCACAUCUGUGGCAUAUGGAGGUUCCCAGGCCAGGGGUGUGGCCAUAAAAAGAAAAAAAAAGAAUUGUACAACUUUGUAAAGUUCUGCACUGAAGGAAGAAUUUGUGUGGACACUUGAUUUCCUGGUAAUGCCAAUAAAAAGGGGUCUUACUAUAGGAAGGAAUCAACCUCUGAAUAGGUGCCUUGGGUUUUCAGAAUGGAAUAGCAUCGUUUAUUUUUAAGGUAGAUUUGGGAAACACUUUGUACAUGCACACACAGAGUUUUAACUGAUAGGCAAGGCACAUAAAUACUUCCUAAUGGCCUUGCUUAAUGACUCUAAAUUACCUUGUGUCUCCUUCAUCAAGAAGGUGAUUUAAUUUCCUUCCAGUGGUGAAGCACUGUCUGAAAAUGAGUUCCAACUACUCCAAAGAUCAUGGACUCAUUUUUCAACUUCUUCUUAAUCUUAUUUCAAAAAGAUUUAAAUUCUCACCUGAAACCUUUCCAAAUUCCUUUCAAUGUGGUUUUAUGAUACUUAUUUGAAAUUACUUGACAGAGUGAUCCAAAAAAAGAUAAUUUGCUAUUGUUUGAGUAUGGAGAUAAGUUGCAAGUGUCCUGCUAUUGAAUUCCUUGAAGAGGUUUAAUUACUUCAAAUAGACACUUAAGAGAAAUUGAAUUGGGCCCUGGUCUGUGAUUGAUUUAAAAACAGCACUAAUAACUGAGAAGGUAAAAUAGCAUUUUCCUGGAUGCUUGUCUUCCAAAGGUCUAUCAAAACUCAAUGUUUUAUGGCCUCUUAAAGUAACUUUGCAAUGGGAGUAAGAGAGACUGACACAGAAAUCAAUUGGUCUCCAUUCCUUUGAAGGCAUAAUUAACAGAGAGUCAGCAAGCACUGCCCAAAGGAAGUGAGUUGUCCAGAAAAGAACUUAGCAAUGGCUGAGGAGAAGCUUCUGCAAGAGGUUCCCCCACUGGUGGAUGGAGCCAAAGGUGGAGCACAUCCAGUCUUUCUGGCCAGCUGUGAUUCCUUGAUUCUUCACAGUGAUCAACAGACCCACAGAUGUCAUAUCAGAUGGACACAGGCAGCAACUUUAAAUGCAGUUGUGUCUUAAUCACCACCUUGAGGUAGGCAGCACGGGGUGACUUGAGGGGUCCAUUACUCUGAAGCCUCUUAGGAAACACUGUUGCUUCCUGCCACCAUAGAGUUCAGAACUCAAGACAGUUAGAAGGGGAAAAAAAAAAAAACACUCUCACAGCACAAUCUGUCAGAGUGACUGUGAGGACACUCCAGAACAGGAGACACCCCAAGACAUGGUUGAAGUGACAAUGUGGCCAAGUCAUCCUGCUGCUUCUGGAAAAGACUCAAGGCAACCACCAUAACCAGUGUCCCAUUUCAGCUGGUUGGGUCCCACUUUCAGCCCCUGCUCAAGGAAGCAACAUUCGGCAGUUUGCUGCCUAGUGGGUCAUUGUUUUGUACACCUGAGGGGGAAUCUUCCCCCAAAGGUGGUCCAUCAAUAAGUUAACUACCUUUAAGAUGGUCUGCUCAUAAGGACCUGACACCCAAGGAGUGAGUUAAUUUGCUAAAGUAAUCAGGAUGUUUCCUUCUGGAAUUUGGACUGGGAGGUCAGUUUAGAAGCAAGAGAACAAGAAGCAGUUAUCAUGAGAUGGAUAAAGGUGCUCAUACUAAAUGGCCUUGCAAUUCCAGUUCACAAACAUUCUUUCCAUAAUUCCUCCUGAAAUUAGGUUCUCUGCCUCCAUAUAAGCUCAACCUUCACCAGGGCUACUGGAACCACAUUUCCAAGAAUGGAAAACCUUCUCUUGGCUUGAACUUUAAGCAAGAUGGGGGUUUUCUUGCCUCAAAUGACAUUUUCAUGGCAGAGAAGGAGGGAUAAAGAGCCUCCCAUCUCUAGCCCUUCCAAAGCCUAACAGAUAGACCCAAUGUUCUAUGCACAGAGAAUUGGAAGGCAGCAAAUACACUGUGGCAAUCAAGUGAUAAGGUCUAAGCCCUUAGAGGCCAGGUCAGGAGCACAUGCAAAAGUAAUGAGAGCCAAGACCUAGCUCUGAUGCUCUGAAAGCAAUCAUUUGGCAUGCAGCACCUCCAGACCAGGGAGGGAGAAGGAAGAACAUGGAAGGACCCCAGGAGAAUUCCAACAUGUCACAAGUAUUCCUUAUGUUCCAUGUGUCCUGAUUUGCCAGGGAUAGUCCAAGUUUAUGCCUGUCAUUCCAACAUAAUUUCAUUCUCAGAAUUGUUCCAAUUAAAAUGAUUAAUGAGGAGUUCCUAUCAUGGCUUAGUGGAAAAGAAUCUGAUUAGCAUCCUGUAGGAUGCAGGUUUGAUCCCUGGCCUCACUUAGUGGAUUAAGGAUCUGGUGUUGCCAUGAGCUGUGGUGUAGCAUUGCUGUGACUGUGGCACAGGCCAGUGGCUACAGCUCCAAUUCAACACCUAGCCUGGGAAACUCCAUAUGCUGCUGGUGCAGCCCUAAAAAGAAAAAUAAUAAAAAAAAAGAUUAAUGAUAUGGUCCCCCUACUUAAUGGAUUGGCAGGUUCUACAUAGGAAGUGUAUUAGUUACAUAUUGCUGCCUAACAAAUUAUCCCGCAAUUGAGCAGCUUAAAACAACAAGCAAGUAUGAUCUGACAUUGUCUGCAGGUCAGGAAAUGGUCAUCUCCAACUCAAGGUCUCUCAUGAUGACACAGUUAAGCUACUGGAUUCAUCUUGUGGUCUCACUGGAAUGCUCAGCUAUGGUGGUAGAGGGUGGGGCAGCCCAGCCCUGCCCCAAGGUCAUGCACAUGGUGGUUGGCAAACUUCACUUCCUCCCAGACUCGUGGAUGGAGGCCUCACUUCCUUAUCAAGGCUCAUGGGUCUCUUCACGUGGUUACUCACAUGGAAGCUGGCUUCCCCCUAUGCAAGUGAUCUCCCAUCAUUCUGCCAUAUUCUCUUCUUUAGAAGCAGACUGCUCUGUCCAGCCCAUACUCAAACGGAGAGACUACAUGAAGGCUCAAUACCAGGAAGCAAGGUAUGGGGGCCAUGUGAGAAGCUGCCAACCACAGGACUACCAGCUAAAUCCUUUGUAAUCUUGCGUUGUCCCCCAUGAUGGUUCUCCUUCACUUCUAUUUCACUUCAUUGCUAUUCCUUUUAGAGUUCCAGAUUUAAGAAUUCUCUCCAGGAGUUCCUGUUGUGGCGCAGUGGUUAAUGAAUCUGACUAGGAACCAUGAGGUUGCAGGUUCAAUCCCUGGCCUUUCUCAGUGGGUUAAGGAUCCGGCAUUGCCAUGAGCUGUGGUGUAGGUCGCAGACGCAGCUUGGAUCCCGCGUUGCUGUGGCUCUGGUGUAAGCUGGCGGCUACUGCUCUGAUUAGACCCCUAGCAUGGGAAUCUCCAUAUGCCAUGGGAGUGGCCCUAGAAAAGACAAAAAGACCAAAAAAAAAAAGAAUUCUCUCUAGAGACUGCUAUUGAUGUAAGACUCAGACAGUGGACACUAUCUGGCUAUUGGAGAGACAGAGUUGGUGUGUCAUCGCACCCCAGAGUGGACACUGAAGUUGAACCACCAGGUUCAGAUCCCAGCUCCUCACACUGACCUGUAAGACCUGACCUUGAGCAUGUUAUUUAUCUUCUCUCUGUCCUUGUCUCUCUGGUGUGGUGGUUAAUAGUGCUCACUUUUCUUGCCAGCAGGGAUGUGGGAAAAAAGAAAACUGUUGGUGGGAAUGUAAAUUGGUGCAACCACUAUGGAGGACAGUGUAGAGAUUCCUUAAAACACUAAAACUAGAACUACCAUAUGAUCCAGUCAGAAAGAGAAAGAUAAAUACCAUAUGAUAUCACUUAUAUGUAUAAUAUAAAACAUGGCACAAGUGACCCUAUCUACAAAACAGAAACAGACUCACAGACAUAGAGAACAGACUUGUGGUUGCCAAGGGGAGUAGAGGAAAGAGAGAGAAAGACUGGGAGUUUGGGAUUAGCAGAUGUAAACUAUUAUAUAUAGAUAUAGAAUGAAUAACUAACAAGGUCCUAUUAUAUAGCACAGGGAACUAUAUUCAAUAUCCUAUGAUAAACCACAAUGGAAAAUAUUAUGAAAAAGAUGGAGUUCCUGCCAUGGCACAGUGGGUUAAGGAUCUGGUGUUGCUGCAUCUGUGGCAUAGGUCGCAGGUGCAGCUUGGAUUUGAACCCUAGUCCAGGAACUUCCAUAUGCCACAGAUGCAUCCGAGAAAUCAGAGAAAAAAAAAACUGAUUCCAGCACCAGUGCUGAAGUCUGAAGUCUAAAAUCUCACCUAGGUAUCAUCUUAAUCAGACACAUGUGACACUAGUUAUGACUCAUCCUGAAGCAAGCUGAGCACUGUGAAACCAGACAAGUUACACACUAUGAAGGUGGGAUAGGCAAAGGAUAGAUGAUCUCAUUCCAAAAGGGACAAAUUGGAGAGAAGGAAAUACGGCGAAUCUCCAGCAAGUCCAAAACCUAGCAAGGAAAUGCCGCCAGACCUCAAAGCUGGAGAAAAGCCUUCCUUGGUUUGAUGCUCUGCCCUCCAAGCUUACUGGGGUGGUGCCCCCUCCAAUGCUUCCCCACAGAUGCUGUGCCCCUAAGGCUGAAACCACCUCUUCCCAAAGGCUCCACAGGGUGGUCCCAUGGCUUGAGCCUGAAGACAUCUAACCUUGAAAUGAAGCAGUGGUACUGAUGAUCUCUGUUACCUCAGAAUGAGUUCAGACCAUCUCAUGCUCCACUCAACCUGUGCCCCACCCCCCACCUUGCUUCUAUCUCUAAAUCCAACUGUCAGGUGAAAUUCCAAAACCCAGAUACACAGGCCACCACCACCACUACUACCUCACCCUCAGUCAGGAGUCUCUGUGGGUAGUGCAUUUACCAAGAAGGGUCACACUUUGACAACAUCAGAAAGAUGAUCAACUUAUCCUUUUCAAAACUUUACACUGAAUUUGCCAAAAACUAGGAAAUACUCCCACAGUGUGGUGGUGAUUCACUGGGCAAGUUCCCUGGCAUCAGCCAUUGAACUCUCAAACCUCCCUACCCCCACCGGGGGAAUUUUGGUGCAUGUAAGUUGGUACAACCACUAUGGAAAACAGUAUGGAGGUUCCUUAGAAAAUUAAAAAUAGAGUUACCAUAUAUCCAACAGUCUCACUCCUGGGCAUAUCUCCAGACAAAAUUAUAAUUUGAAAAUACACAUGCAUCCCUAUGUCCACUGAAGUACUAUUCACAACAGCCAAGACAUAGAAACAACUCAAAUGUCCAUCAAGAGAUGAAUGGAUUUAAUCUUCUUAGAAGAUUUGAUACAUAUAUACAAUGGAAUACUACUCAACUAUAAAAAAAGAACAAAAUAAUGCCAUUUGCAGCAACAUGGAAGCAACUAGAGAUUCUCAUACUAAGUGAAAUAAGUCAGAAAAAGACAAAUACCAUACGAUAUCAUUUAUAUGUGUAAUCUAAAAUAUGGCACAAAAGAUCCUACCUACAAAACAAACAGAUCAUAAACAUGGAGAGUAGACUUGUAUCUUCUGGGCAGGGGGUUGCGAGGGAGUGGAAUGGACUGGGAGUUUGGGGUGAGAUGCAAACUAUUACAUCUAGAAUGGAUGGGCAAUGAGGUCCUACUGCACAGUACAGGGAAGUAUUGCCCAGUCUCUUGGGUUAGAAUAUGAUGGAAGACAGUAUGAAAAAAAAAGAACAUGUACAUAUAUGUAUGACUGGGUCAUUUUGCUGUAUAGCAGAAAUUGAAGGAACACUGUAAGUCAACUAUAUUUUUUUUUAAUUUUUUUUAAAAAAAAGAAGACACGAGGAGUUCCCAUUGUGGCUCAGCAGAUCAAGAACCCAACUAGAAUCCAUGAGGAUGCAGGUUCAAUCCCUGGCCUCACUCAGUGGUUAAAGGAUCUGGCAUUGCUGCAAGCUGCAUGUAGGUCAUAGAUGUGGCUCGGAUCUGGUAGUGCUGUGGCUGUGGUAUAGGAUGGCAGCUAUGAUUCCAACUGGACCCCUAACCUGGGAACCUCCAUAUGCCAUGGAUGUGGCCCUAAAAAAAAGACCAAAAAAAGAGAUGUGAUACAUAUGGACAAUGGAAUACUUCUCAUUCAUUAAAAAGAACAAAAUUAUUCCAUUCAUAGCAACAUGGAUGCAACCAGAGAUUCUCAUACUAAGUAAGUCCAACAGAGAAAGACAAAUACCACAUGACAUCACUUAUAUGUGGAAUCUAAAAUAUGGUACAAAUGAACCUAUCUAUAGAACAGAAAUAGACUCACAGACAUGGAGAAUAGACCUGUGGUUACCAAGGGGGAGGAGGAAGGAGUGGGAUGGACUGGGAAUUUGGGGUUAGUAGAUGCAAACUAUUAUAUUUAUAAAGGAUUUAAAAAAAAACUAUUCUAUAGCAUGGGGAACUAUAACCAAUCUCCUGGGAUGGACAAGGAUGGAAAAGAACAUAAAAAAAGAAUGCAUAUAUGUGUAUAACUGAGUCACUUGCUGUAGAGCAGAAAUUGGCACAACACUGUGAAUCAGCUAUACUUUAAUAAAAAAAUUAAAAUUUAGGAGUUCCAGUCGUAACUCAGCGUAAUGAACCUGACUAGUAUCCAUGAGGACAUGGGUUCAAUCUCUGGCCCUGCUCAGUGGGUUAAGGAUCUGGCGUUGCUGUGAGUUGGGGUGUAGGUUGCAGACACGGCUCA
rnacentral:lncRNA from 9 species